GAAUUUUAUAGAUAUGUAGGUUUUGCUUAUAUGAGAAUUUGCUUAUCUGUUUGGUUGGGAGGACGGGUAAAUUAUUUAAACUUUAAUAAGUGUGUUAGUCAUUGAUUAAUGGAAUGUUUUGUUACGAUUUAUUUUUUUAUUAUUAGUUAAAUUACCUCAGGGAUAACAGCGUAAUAUUUUAGGAAAGUUCAUAUUGAUUAAAAUGGUUGC
rnacentral:rRNA from 1 species